UACGUAGGGUGCGAGCGUUGUCCGGAUUUAUUGGGCGUAAAGAGCUCGUAGGCGGCUCGGUAAGUCAGGUGUGAAAACUCUAGGCUCAACCUAGGAGACCACCACUGAUACUGCCGGUGGCUAGAGUCCGGUAGGGGAGCAUGGAAUUCCUGGAUGUAGCGGUGAAAUGCGCAGAGUAUCAGGAGGAACACCGGUGGCGAAGCGGCGUCUGGCGGCAUACUGAC
rnacentral:rRNA from 1 species